GCGGCGUAGUCUUGAUCUUGGAUCAACGAAAUCUGUUUGCUUUCUAUUCUCGGUUCACUUCGUCUUGAAUUAGCCGUAAUAAAUGACUCGAAAAUGUUGAAUUUAGCAAAUUUGUACGCGUGGUGUAAAAUGGUUUUUCUGUGGUAAACGACAUCCGGUUAUUAUAAAUUUCACUACUGUCUUUGUAUAAUACUAUUGGACUUGUUGUUCUACAAACUAAACACAAUGCGUCGAGUUAAAUGUUCGUCAAGUUUUCGAUCGAAAAAACCUGCGUUUAUCUCCCGUAACGUAAACAAUCGAUCAACGACACAGUUGUGAUAGUUUUGUGAAAUAUAAUGUGAAAUAUCCCGCAUUCUUGUUUACGCGUACUGUGAAAGUAUUUUGGUGAAAAUUUGUUUCAUUAAAAAGAUCUACCUAUAUGCGGUUGGAAAAUAGUUGUUGCCAACUAUUCCGAUUUUCUACUGCAGAAUGAAAUUAAUCCUAAGUUUGACAAAGUGAAACAACAAGUCUUGUGAAAGCGUGUCGAAAUGACGAAGUUUACCGGGCCUCUGGUGCAUGGCGCCAAACUGGUUUACCAGAACUUAACGGAUAUCGCGACAAACAGUUCAUUCAGCAAGGCUGACAAAAAAACCUGCGAAUAUCAGCGAGAUUUCGAAAAUAUAAAGCUCCUUGGGGAUGUGGAAGAUGACGCUGAUUUUGAAAGCACGACGCAUCUGGUGCGGGUCCCUCGAAUACCAGAUGCUAACCACCGUACACCGAGUACGUCUAAAAUCAAAAUCACUAUUGAAGGGAUGAGCUGUCAGAGUUGUGUGAGAAAUAUUGAAGGAACUAUAGGUGCCCGAAAUGACGUUGUAAAUAUUAGAGUGGUCCUAGAAGAGAAAGCAGGUUAUAUUGAAUACAAGAAUAAUGAAACUACAGCACAAGAAUUAGCAGAAGCAAUUGAAGACAUGGGCUUUGUCGUAUCUCUACCUUUACUAACAAACGAUACUGCAAGUGAGGAUAUUUUAAAACCUGCAAUAAGUACGUGCAGUAUACACAUUGACGGCAUGACUUGUGGGUCUUGCGUUAAAAGUAUAACAAGUGUAAUCUCAGAAAAGGUAGGAGUGAAAGAAAUCGAUGUCAGCCUAGACGCUAAAGAGGCAAGAGUAUCCUUCAGCAGUGGUGAUAUAACUGCUGAUCAAAUAGCAACUUAUAUUGAAGAGAUGGGCUUUGAUGCAUUUGUUAAGGAAGUUAAUGGACAGUUGAAAAAACCUCAUGCUGAUACUGGAACGAAUAAUAACUUGAAAAACGGAGACGUAAUUGUGCAAUUGAACGGCGGAGGUGACAUUGUAAUUGACGCUGUACAUUUAUCGAAAUGUUUUUUGCACAUCAAGGGAAUGACGUGCGCAUCUUGUGUUGCUGCCAUUGAAAAACACUGUAAAAAAUUGUAUGGGGUAGACAAUAUUUUAGUCGCCCUAUUAGCUGCAAAAGCUGAGGUCAAAUAUGACCCAGAAAAAAUAGCACCAGCUGAUAUUGCUUCCAGUAUCUCUGAUCUCGGCUUUCCAGCGUCUUUGAUCAAUGAACCCGGUUCUGGAGAAGGAGAAGUUGAGCUGAAGAUUGCAGGAAUGACGUGUGCCUCGUGUGUCAAUAAAAUAGAGUCUUCCGUGAAGAAGUUACCUGGUGUAAACUCUGCAGUGGUUGCGCUCACGACUCAACGUGGAAAGUUCAAAUAUGAUCCAGAGCAAACUGGUGUUAGAAACAUUGUCGAAAGUAUCAACAAAUUAGGUUUCACUGCUAGUUUAUUUAGCAAUAAAGACAAAGAAAAUAGAGGCUAUCUGGACCACAAGGAAGAGAUUCAGAAAUGGCGUGUUGCAUUUUUGAUAUCAUUGAUAUUUGGUGUGCCGUGCAUGAUAGCAAUGACGUACUUCAUGUUAGUUAUGUCUUUAGGUGAGAAAACUCACCACGAUAUGUGUUGCAUAAUACCCGGUCUUUCGUGGGAAAAUCUGAUUCUUUUUGUCUUCUCAACUCCCGUCCAGUUUUUUGGCGGCUGGCAUUUCUAUGUCCAAGCCUAUAGGGCGCUCAAACACGGAUCCACUAACAUGGAUGUUCUCAUCUCGAUGACCACAACGAUAUCGUAUGUUUACUCAGUUGCCGUUCUAACUGCGGCGAUAGCAAUGCAGCAGCAAACUAGUCCGCAAACUUUCUUUGACACCCCACCAAUGUUGUUAGUGUUCAUUAGUUUAGGAAGAUGGUUGGAGCAUGUUGCUAAGGGAAAAACGUCUGAAGCCCUGUCCAAAUUAUUAUCUUUGAAAGCAACGGAAGCAACCCUCGUUACGUUGGGUGCCAAUAAUGAAAUACUUUCAGAGCGUUUAAUAAGUAUUGAUUUAGUGCAACGUGGUGAUACACUAAAGGUAGUUCAAGGUGCCAAAGUCCCAGUUGACGGUAAAGUUAUCUCAGGUCAUUCGACGUGCGACGAAAGUUUAAUUACUGGUGAAAGCAUGCCAGUGCCAAAAAAGACUGGAUCUUCUGUUAUUGGAGGGUCAAUCAAUCAAAAUGGACCACUAAUAAUUACGGCCACUCACACCGGAGAGCACACGACUUUAGCACAGAUCGUUCGUUUGGUUGAAGAAGCUCAAACAAGCAAGGCACCUAUCCAACAAUUAGCUGAUAAAAUAGCCGGAUAUUUUGUACCUUUCGUUAUUGCUGUCUCAACAAUAACUUUGAUUGCUUGGACGGUUGUUGGCUACGUUGACAGAAGCAAAUUGCCAAUACCUGACGACGACUACAUAAAGAAAAACGGCGGGAACAGAGAAGAACUAAUUUUCCAGUACGCAUUUCGGUGCGCCUUAUCGGUGCUUGCCAUUGCGUGUCCUUGUGCCUUGGGUCUAGCCACACCAACUGCAGUAAUGGUUGGCACUGGAGUUGGAGCAUUAAAUGGUAUACUGAUCAAAGGAGCAGAGCCACUUGAAAAUGCACACAAAGUUAAGUGUAUUGUCUUUGAUAAGACUGGAACUGUCACACACGGUGUACCUAUCGUAACUAGAAUUGGCCUGUUUGUUGAUGACAAACUUUGCUCCAUUGCCAAACUCCUCUCAAUAGUCGGAACUGCGGAAGUCAAUAGUGAACAUCCAAUUGCGUCAGCUAUUGAAAGGUACGUGAAACAAACAAUUGGAACGGAAGUGAAUGGGCAGUGUACAAAUUUUCAAGCAGUCCCUGGAUGUGGUCUGAAGUGUAAAGUGUCUCAUCUUUCUGUCAUGAUGUCACAUGCCGUAAAGUCAGAGAAGGUUGUUAAUUACACAAACCAAGCCAGAAACGCAACAACUGGGACAUUUAAUCUGAACGGCGUACCUGUGGACAUCGUGCUAUCAGCUGGUUCCGUUCAGGAAAGACAGAACUUGGAUUUACAAUUAUUAUUAAGUCCAGAUACUCACGGAGAUCAAACUGAUUCUAACGAUGUAUACGAAGUUGCGAUAGGAAAUAGAGAAUGGAUGAAGAGGAAUGUAAUUAAUGUACCAACAGACGUUGACUUGAGAAUGUCCGAUGAAGAAGACUUAGGUCGCACUGCUGUUUUGGCGGCUGUAAACGGAACCUUAGUUGCUAUGAUCAGCGUGGCUGAUACUGUGAAGUCUGAAGCACAUUUAACAGUCUAUACAUUAAAAAAAAUGGGACUUGAAGUUAUUCUGUUGACUGGUGAUAACAGAAAAACUGCCGCAUCUAUAGCUAGGUUGGUAUCAGUAGAGUUUUUGCAGAAGUAUUACCGUCACACAAAGUGGCAAAAAUUCAACGAUUGCAAGAACAAGGAUUAAGAGUAGCAAUGGUUGGUGACGGUGUAAAUGAUAGUCCAGCUCUUGCCCAAUCGGAUGUUGGUAUUGCAAUCUCAUCUGGAACUGAUGUUGCUGUAGAGGCAGCUGAUGUUGUAUUGAUGAGAAAUGAUUUACUCGACGUUAUUGCUUGCCUGGAUCUCUCACGAAAAACUGUUCGCAGGAUACGAUUAAACUUUUUAUUUGCUAGUAUAUAUAAUUUGUUGGGUAUUCCAAUUGCGGCUGGAAUGUUCAGUCCUCUAGGAUU
rnacentral:misc_RNA from 1 species